GACGUAGGGCGCGAGCGUUGUCCGGAUUUAUUGGGCGUAAAGAGCUCGUAGGCGGCUCGUUGCGUCAAUCGUGAAAACCUACUGCUUAACGGUGGGCUUGCGGUUGAUACGGGCGGGCUGGAGUUCGGUAGGGGAGACUGGAAUUCCUGGGUGUAGCGGUGAAAUGCGCAGAUAUCAGGAGGAACACCGGUGGCGAAGGCGGGUCUCUGGGCCGUAACUGACGCUGGAGGAGCGAAAGCGUGGGGAGCGAACAGG
rnacentral:rRNA from 1 species